GCAAUAAGAUAUUUUGAUUUUGGCGCCAGGUGUCCUGCCACCAGCUGAUCCCAAGCUUUCUAGACGACCCAGAUCGAGACCCAGAUCCCAAGACACUUCCCUCAUAUUAUUUACCUUUCAUCUUAGGACGCUAGGCUUCGUGGGAUGCUGGGUGGCGAAGAUAGGACACGUAAAUAAUUGGAGUAUCAUUUUAUAACUUGAAGAAUGAUAUGUAAUUUCCUGACAUGAUAAUUUGACGGAUGUAAAUAAACAAAGCACCGCUCUUCCUUUGGAAGACAUCCAGGCGAGACGAGAGAGAGAGAGAGAGAAGAGAGAGAGAGAGAGAGGGGGGAUAUGUGUGACUCCGCUCUGCAUUUCCAAGUAAUUCUCCGGAUUUUACCAGUAGUAAGAAUCAGGAUGGCUGCAGUUGAGUGCAAGGUGUGCAUGGAGAGUUUGACGACCAGAUGUAGUGGCGUGGAGUGGGAGUUGUGUGGGGCUCAAGGCCUCCACCAAGAUGCUGAGCCACAAAAACAUUAUAUUUUUGUGUGGCGAAUGUCUGAAGGCGGCGAAGAAGUUGAAGACGAUGGCGAUAGUGACCAGCAUAAAGGACACGCAGACGGAGUACAUCAAAGAUAAUGAUACACAAGCUGUGAACGCCCGCAAGAGCCUGAAGACAAGGGCAUGCAAACAAAGGAGAAAGACCAGCAACCACGAAGAGUUUCUCCCUGCACGGAGCACCGCCAAGCAAAACCUUAGAGGCACGAGUACGUAAGGUUCCCCAACGCCUGUCUCCUGGCUGCACUUUUAUUAAGCGGAUUCCAAAUACCGAGAUGCUUUCACUGACAUGAUUCCUGAUCCUGAGAAGCAUGCCAUGUACAUUGAUGUUGCUCCUCACAUCGGAACACCUUUGAGGGCACAGAUCAACAUUGCUGUCCCACAUGUCAUGGAAGUGUAUCCCGAAGCCAAGCUCAGAGAAAUGAUCUUCCCAGUUAUAUGGUUUGAAGAUGUAUACUUAAAUGGAUUACUCAUAUUGCCCUAAUUUUUAUUGUGAUACUCGUGCUAUGGUUUUCUCUCUUCCCUGUUGUGUGGUUUGAUGAUGUAUAUAGUGCUGUAUUAUUCAUAUUGUCCUCAUUUUGAUUGUGAUACUAUGGUUUUCUUUCUUUCCAGUUAUAUGGUUUGAUGAUGUAUGUAUGGCUGGAUUACUCAUAUUCCCCUAGUUUUUAUUGUGGUAAUAUGGUUUUGUCUCUGGAGACUCUUACAUGCUUUCCUCUUUAAGGUGUUACAGAGCUUCCUGGAGAUCUAUUAGAUUUGCUGAGCCUUGGUGAAAAUACCCCACUGGUGGUCUAAAUGAGUAUGCUUUUAGCAGCAUUCACCAUUGGAUUCACAAUUAUCCUGUUCGUGAUGGUUAUAUUCUUUGCCACUCACUACAACUUGUCUGUUUCUUACUUCAACCCAAACUCUAUUCACAAGGAUGGCAAAGCAACAAAGAUCAACAAUGCACAACCUCAGGCACACAGACUAGAGUUGUCUAGUCAUGUUAAUACUAUGGUGUCCAAUAACCCAGAGAAUGAUGAUGCCUGACAUCAUGGGACAGACCCACACUCAAGCACACACUCCUGGAGGAACAAUCAUCACUCAGUUGGUCACUUCCCAGAAUCUCAAAAAGCCUCCCAGGGCCAGCCUUAGCACAGAAUGGUGAGGUCCCUCUUUGUAGAUGGAGCGUCCUACAACAUUGCUGGACAAACACCAUCUCUCCUCACCCCAGAACCCACACUCACAAGUACAAGCUGAAUCAUAUCAUGCACACAAUUAUAUGGUUUAUUCAUAACUUCAGUCUGUAGUUUAGUUCAAGUAAAUACAAAUAUCAAAUGUAUUUAGAGAGAUAUUAAUUCUAAUUCUAUUAAUCUUAAAGUACUCAAGAUAAUAGCAUAGUACUGUAAAUUUUAACAUUCAUGAAAUUCAAGUCAGGAAAGUUUGACUUGUGUCUUUGAUUUGGCAAACUUUUAUCAUAUUUAAUCUGAGUGACAAUAUCAUUGUUGUACUGUAAGGUGUAGUAAAUUAUGUGAGAUGGAAUGACCUUUCCAAAUCUUUUGGAAUCCAUAUCAUAUGAACUUUUAGUUAGACUAUGAUGCAACUUUUAUAUGAUGUAGAUAUUGUUUUACACUGACAAUAAAAAGCGAUUUGUUUA